CCCUAUAAAUGCGAUCGCGAACUCGAGCGCUCUCAGCCACUCUCCUACCGUAUAAAUGGCCCUCGGUACGGCGGACGGUGAUCUGGCCGUCGCUCCAUCGAGCUUCGUCUCAUCCUUUCGCCUCGAACCCUGAACAAUUGGAACAGAAAUACAAAUCAAACGAUGAUAAAGCUGCGAUUCUGCUCAAUCUCUCCCUCUUGCCCCAACUCCCAUCUGCCGGGGUUUAGGGCACCGUGGUGCGGUGUACGAAUCAGAGACAAAGAUCUGUGGGUGCUGAGGUUAAGGUAUCAACAGCAAGAAAAGGCGGUACUGUGGAAGGCUAACAGGGCCUGACUCGAUUUCCUUGGCAGCGGCGGGGGUCAUGUGCGAUGGACGAGGUAAACAACCAGACCAAUGGCAUAAAGGUUGAACGACAAGCUGUCGGAGAUCGACGAGGAGUUGCAUAACCCACAACCGACCGUGAAUAAGAGGGAGACGAUCCAUCGGCUCGCCGCAUCCAGUUUCUCAUAUCUGCUCUUCACGCCCUAGGAUCAUCAAAGACAGCCUAAGAAGACAGGAGCUAAGAUCGUGUGAAAGAUGAGAAAGCUACUGACACUGUCCUCUGCUUCUGUUGAUGAUGAUGCUGUCAACAAUGUUGUUCUUGCAAAGCCGGAAAGUGUACCAAGAAACUAUGUCUAAGAUGCCGGAUGAACCAAUUCAGUUUCAAAGGAUUGGUAAAUUCUGGUUUAUAUCACCCGACGAAGCUUCUUCACCGUCACAAGCACGAGGAACUAAAUGCCUAUAGCAUCUACACCGGUCUUCACAUGUUUCCGAGACCGGGGAUGAGUAGGAAGGUGGUUCAUAUCAUAAUGAAGUUGCCACGAUGGGGGUGCCUUUUGAUAGUCGAUGCUCCAGUCCAGAAGACCAAAGAUUUAGUAAAACUUACCUGCGGAAGGUUAAAAAAUUACAAAGUUGAAUAGUUUUCAUGUCCUCACUGGAAAUAAAGCACGAGACGUGCAAUGGUUUUUCCUUUUAGUUGCUUAUGUAUUCCUGCCUUUUCUCAUGGAGCUAGAGUGGUAUCUUGGUGAAACCUGUCUAACUUUAGAAAGCCAUCGUCUUAUCCUCGGAGCUGGAGAGGCAUCAAGAGGAUGAUGACGUGCUUGAUCAGUAGGGGAAGGGGGUGAGACGUGGAGACUUACUUGUGUAUACAAAUAUUACAUGCAGGUUUUCUUUCUUUCAAGAAGCCAACAGCCAGAGAUAACGUUUGAGUUGAAUGAGUUUUAUGGUUGGAAGGGAUCAUCGUGCCUGCCACUUCCACGGCCAUCGCUGUGACCAGUUGUCAACAGCUUUAUCAAAGGGAGUACAUGAUUUACUUACUUUACCACAUAACAUGUUUCCUGCAGUUGGAUGGUCAUCCGGCAUCCUGCAUCCUGCAUCCUGCAUCCUGGUGGUGGUCGAAUAGUAAAGGCGGUAUCGCCGAGGUGGCGGUCCCCCCCCCUUUGUCAGGGGUUCAAAAUCACGAGUUUGGCCAUCUCGGACCUACAAAAGAGUGAGGAGGCAAUCACAAAAUGGGUAUGUCGACUUCCAGAUCAGUGCAGAAGAGUGCACGGAGCAUGUGGAAUGCGUUGAUCCGGGAGCAAGGUUUCUACAUCCUUCCUUGGUUGAAUAGGAUCUUUACAACUCAUUACAUGCAGUGUCAUGUGGAGUGCAUUUCUCGUGGUGCAACUCUCUUACCACAUUUUCUACCA